rnacentral:rRNA from 1 species
UACGUAGGGUGCAAGCGUUGUCCGGAAUUAUUGGGCGUAAAGAGCUCGUAGGCGGUUCGUCGCGUCGGCUGUGAAAACCCGGAGCUCAACUCCGGGCCUGCAGUCGAUACGGGCGGACUAGAGUUCGGCAGGGGAGACUGGAAUUCCGGGUGUAGUGGUGAAAUGCGUAGAGAUCCGGAGGAACACCCGUGGCGAAGGCGGCCCCCUGGGCCGCGCCUGACGCUGAGACGCGAAAGCGCGGGGAGCGAACGGG